rnacentral:misc_RNA from 1 species
GGAAGGAUCAUUAACACGUAUCCACGUAUCCACCCCUCGUGCACUGUUUUCACAACCUCCCUAGGGAGCUUCGACAGGAGUUGGAAGGGAACUCGAGCGUUUGAAUGGGAGUUAGUCUUUAUUGACUACCUCAGCUCGAGUCCCCCCAUCAGCUGAGCAAUCAGCGUACAACUGGAGUCGACUCUUCUAGGCCACUAUUCUUCUUAUAGGAAUCUCUCUCCAUUCAAGAGAGGACUUAUGAGAUGUUUAAUACACCCCUUUCACCCCCUUUUUGCUAGUUGACUUUUUAUAUGUUGUUACACGUAGAUUCAUUUCUACUGUCUCACACGUUUAAUUACUUGAACGUUAAAAAAACAACUCUUAGCAAUGGAUAUCUUGGUUCUCGCAACGAUGAAGAACGCAGCGAAAUGCGAUACGUAAUGCGAAUUGCAGAAUUCAGUGAAUCAUCAAAUCUUUGAACGCAAAUUGCGCUCUUGGGUAGCCCUAGGAGCACGCCUCUCUCAGUAUCGGUUCAACCAUCUCUCAGCAGCGUAGGCAACUACGUCUGACUGGAAAAUGAGAGUCGAGUGCCUUGUGUACUCGUCUCUUGAAAUACAUCGAGUGUGGACUCAUCGACCUCAGCUUCUGCCUUCGGGCGGAAUAGUGGAUCUCGACUGUCGCACCUCAAGUGACGUGAAUACUGGCCCUUGUGGUCUCCUUUUACGUGUAUCUUGGGUGCGUCGAUUAGGUUGGGUGAAGCGAACGUUGUUGAACGAUUCGACAUGGAACGUGGCAGUGAUGCUACAAUCGGCCCUGUGUUUACAUAGAGUCUGAAUAUUUGAUCUGAGAUGAAGCGAGACAACCCCCUGAAUUUAAGCAUAUUAAUAAGGGGAGGAAAAGAAACUAACAAGGAUUCCCCCAGUAACGGCGAGUGAAGCGGGAAGAGCUCAAUUUGAAAAUCGAUUACCUAAACGGGUCAUCGAAUUGUAGCCUAGAGACGUACUAUCAGCUGAAACCUGGGUAUAAGUUCUUUGGAAUGAGGCAUCAUAGAGGGUGAGAAUCCCGUAUAUGACCCAAAGCUUUCAGCGUACGAUGUAUGUUCCUCGAGUCGAGUUGUUUGGGAUUGCAGCUCUAAAUGGGUGGUAAGUUUCAUCUAAAGCUAAAUAAUGGCGAGAGACCGAUAGCGAACAAGUACCGUGAGGGAAAGAUGAAAAGAACUUUGAAAAGAGAGUUAAAAGUACUUGAAAUUGCUAAGAGGGAAGCGCUGUCAACCAGUGAUAUGCGUCGUUCAUCGCUUUCAGCCCCACUAGUCGUUGUGUGUAGUCUUUAACUCUACACGCAGCGUCGAAAGGGAGGUUGGAGGUUUAGGACGGCGUGUCAGUCAAGAUCCAUUCGAUGAGUGGGAGAAGGGAGUGAGAAAGGUAGGAGAUCCGUCUCUGUUAUAGUCUCAUUUCUCUACCUCGCGUUGGAUGGAGGAAGGAAUAGUGCGCUGCUUGCGGCUUAGCCUCAUGCUCCUGUGUAUUUAGUUGGCUUGAUAGCAAUGCUCUCCUGUUGACGACGGUGCAUACUGGGUAUGACGGCUCUAUGUGCUAUCACGAUCUUGUACGAAAUGGUUGUCAUCGACCCGUCUUGAAACACGGACCAAGGAGUCUAACAUCUAUGCGAGUAUUUGAGUGAAAAACUCUGAUGCGCAAUGAAAGUAAAGGUAGCUUCGGCUGCUGAGGUAGGAAUCCGGUCACACGGAGGCACUAUCGACCGAUCAUCACUUGUGAAAGAUUUGAGUAAGAGCAUAUCUGUUGGGACCCGAAAGAUGGUGAUCUAUGCCUGAACAGGGUGAAGCCAGGGGAAACUCUGGUGGAGGCUCGUAGCGAUACUGACGUGCAAAUCGUUCGUCUGAUUUGGGUAUAGGGGCGAAAGACUAAUCGAACCAUCUAGUAGCUGGUUCCCUC